rnacentral:rRNA from 1 species
ACUUGAAUUGAAGAGUUUGAUCAUGGCUCAGAUUGAACGCUGGCGGCAGGCUUAACACAUGCAAGUCGAACGGUAGCAGGAGAAAGCUUGCUUUCUUGCUGACGAGUGGCGGACGGGUGAGUAAUGCUUGGGAAUCUGGCUUAUGGAGGGGG